GUAACGGCGAGUGAAGCGGCAACAGCUCAAAUUUGAAAUCUGGCUCUCGGGCCCGAGUUGUAAUUUGUAGAGGAUGCUUUUGGUGAGGUGCCUUCCGAGUUCCCUGGAACGGGACGCCAUAGAGGGUGAGAGCCCCGUCUGGUUGGACACCGAUCCUCUGUAAAGCUCCUUCGACGAGUCGAGUAGUUUGGGAAUGCUGCUCUAAAUGGGAGGUAUAUGUCUUCUAAAGCUAAAUACCGGCCAGAGACCGAUAGCGCACAAGUAGAGUGAUCGAAAGAUGAAAAGAACUUUGAAAAGAGAGUUAAAAAGUACGUGAAAUUGUUGAAAGGGAAGCGCUUGUGACCAGACUUGGGCUUGGUUGAUCAUCCGGGGUUCUCCCCGGUGCACUCUUCCGGCUCAGGCCAGCAUCAGUUCGCCCUGGGGGAUAAAGGCUUCGGGAAUGUGGCUCUCUCCGGGGAGUGUUAUAGCCCGCUGCGUAAUACCCUGUGGCGGACUGAGGUUCGCGCAUUCGCAAGGAUGCUGGCGUAAUGGUCAUCAGUGACCCGUCUUGAAACACGGACCAAGGAGUCGUCUUCGUAUGCGAGUGUUCGGGUGUCAAACCCCUACGCGAAAUGAAAGUGAACGCAGGUGAGAGCUUCGGCGCAUCAUCGACCGAUCCUGAUGUUAUCGGAUGGAUUUGAGUAAGAGCAUACGGGGCCGGACCCGAAAGAAGGUGAACUAUGCCUGUGUAGGGUGAAGCCAGAGGAAACUCUGGUGGAGGCUCGCAGCGGUUCUGACGUGCAAAUCGAUCGUCAAACAUGGGCAUGGGGGCGAAAGACUAAUCGAACCUUCUAGUAGCUGGUUUCCGCCGAAGUUUCCCUCAGGAUAGCAGUGUUGAACUCAGUUUUAUGAGGUAAAGCGAAUGAUUAGGGACUCGGGGGCGCUAUUUAGCCUUCAUCCAUUCUCAAACUUUAAAUAUGUAAGAAGCCCUUGUUGCUUAAUUGAACGUGGGCAUCGA
rnacentral:rRNA from 1 species